UAAUACGAAGGGUGCAAGCGUUGCUCGGAAUUAUUGGGCGUAAAGGGUAGGUAGGUUGUCUUGUUUGUCUAAGGUGAAAUCCCACGGCUUAACUGUGGAAGUGCCUUAGAAACGGCAAGACUAGAGUCCUAGAGGGGUUUGUGGAAUUCCCGGUGUAGCGGUGAAAUGCGUAGAGAUCGGGAGGAACACCAGCGGCGAAGGCGGCAAACUGGAUAGGAACUGACACUCAACUACGAAAGCGUGGGGAUCAAACAGGAUUAGAUACCCUGGUAGUCCACGCUGUAAACGAUGGGUACUAGGCUUUGUGGGAAUAGACCCCUGCAGAGCCGGAGCUAACGCAAUAAGUACCCCGCCUGGGAAGUACGGUCGCAAGACUAAAACUCAAAUGAAUUGACGG
rnacentral:rRNA from 1 species